AGAUAUCCAACAGGAAACUGAUAAGGUCACUUGAAGACUACAAGUUUGAUAGGUCGGAGGUGGAAGCGCAGCAAUGCGUUGAGCUGACCGAUACUAAUAGACCGAAAGCUUGAACUA
rnacentral:rRNA from 1 species